rnacentral:ribozyme from 11 species
AAGAAACGAAAGGAGGAGAUGAAGAAGUAAAGAAAAGGAAGGGAAGAGGUGGGGGGAGACCUCCGUAAUGUUUGCCUUCUCUGCCUAUUUGUCUGCUUGUCUGCCGCGCGCGAGCAGUUCCUUGGUCUUUAUCUCUCUCUCUCCCUCUCUCUUUCUCUCUGGCUCUCUCUGCCAUUCGAUUUCCCGAAAAAGAGAGAGAG